rnacentral:tRNA from 1 species
UUCGUUGUAGCUCAGUGGAAGAGCGGUUUCCGGUAAAAUGUGCCGGUAAUGGUCAUGAGUUCAAUUCUCAUCAACGGUACAA